rnacentral:lncRNA from 1 species
CUUUAAUCUGUGCAUUAUUUUAGCUUCCUUAUCAGCCAACAUAUUCUCAUAGAACCUUUGUCCUCAGGUGAUCUACAUUAGUCAAAUUGCUAGGUCAUAGUCUCAGAAAACAAACAAGAGGUAUGGUCACAUACACUCAUCCCUCUGCUUAUAUCACAUAAUCAUCAUUCAACCAUAAUUUUACAAGACAGACAUUCAUAAAUGACCCAUGAUGCACUUCCUCAAUAGCUACUUUUUCAUGAUGUCGGGAAGAUCAAACACACGAGACGGCCGACAAAUUGAAGGUAUGGCAACAACUUCAGCAACUUGCAUCCAAUAUACGCCGGCGACACCCAAACGAACAAAGGCACAAAGAAACGUCCAACGAACUGAAGACACAACAUCAGCACCAUCAGCCUCAGGUAAUAUCCCCAUGCAAUUCUUCAUGUGUGUGCCUGCAUUUUGAUCUCAGCUCAACAUUGCGUCAAAACUCUUCUCAUACUGAACUAUAAAGCUCUUUUUUUUCAUGCAUCCUAACACUACCAUGAUAAUAAUGUGAAAGCUACAAAAAGAGCAACACGGUUGAACAAUUAUUGAUUUAUAGUUCCCUACCAGAUAAACAACAUUAAUCUCCAGAUGUACUGUAUGUGACAAUGUCCAUUAGUAGUCUCUUAUAUCACCAAAUGCACUUGCAUGCUGCAAAGGCAAAACACUAUUAAGUACUCUCUCUGUAGAGACAUAUAAGAGUGUUUAGAUCACUACUUUAGUAAUCUAAACGCUCUUAUAUUUCUUUACGGAGGGAGUACAACCUAAAUCAUAUUACAUGAUACUAUGUUAAGAAGACUAUACGCACUGACGAAAUCACAUUUGCAGAUAUGAGAGUCCAACAUACGUUAGACCCAGCAGCUCACCAGACAAAAAGAAAGAAAGAACAACCUCUAAACUCAAGGAGUACAAAGCGGACAAGGACUGCAGAGGGAAGAAGAAAUGCAAACACAGAGGCUCCUAAACGAUUGAGAAAGGCUAAUGCUGAAGAAGAUAGGGAAUUGAAGCGUGCCAGAAGCGAAACCAACAAAAACAACACUAGAGACAAUGUUGGAGACAACAACAGAACCAGAACCUCGACAAGUGCUAAUAGAAAGCCAUGGAACUUCGGAAGGCCAACAUACAAAUGCCAAUAUUGCAAAGCAUUGCUAUGGUGUGAAGAAAGAUUAAAUUCAAACAAAGGAACUACGACACCCUCUUUUGGAAUAUGCUGCAAACAAGGGAAAAUCGAUCUGCCGCCACUAAGAGGACCUCCACCAUACCUUAGAAACCUCUUAAGAAGUGAAGGGCAGGAUUCGGUAAACUUCAAAGAAAAUAUAAGGUCAUACAACUCAAUGUUUUCAUUCACAUCGAUAGGAGGAGCUGUGGACAAGGAAAUAAACACUCGCAAAGGACCUUAUGUUUUUCGUUUGCAUGGACAAAACUACCACCAUAUCGGAACUCUUUUGCCUCAAGGUAUAGACAAACCUCGGUUUGCACAGCUAUACAUAUAUAAUACCGAAAAUGAGGUGGAAAACAAGAUAAGUGCAUCAAGACGCAAUGAUAAUAAAUCAACAGUGGACCCCAACAUCGUCAAAGAACUGAAAAUAAUGCUCGACGACAACAACAUCCUCGCAAAAACAUUCAGAAUGGCAAGAGAUAGAUUCCAAGAAGGAGACUACCAUGAUUACACACUUCGGAUACUAGGCAAAAGGAACGGAACACACAACCUUCCAUCCGCAUCUGAAGUUGCAGCAUUGGUAGUAAGAGAUCCAACCGGAGAGAGUGAAGGACGUGACAUUGUUGUUGAGUACAAAAAUAUGGAGCCACAAAGGAUAUCAGAGAUCCACCCGAAAUUCAUGUCCAUGCAAUAUCCGUUGUUGUUCCCAUAUGGAGAAGACGGUUUUAAACUUGAGAUACC